rnacentral:rRNA from 1 species
GACGAACGCUGGCGGCGCGCCUAACACAUGCAAGUCGAACGAGCAAAGAGGAGCUUGCUUCUCUGAGCGAGUGGCGAACGGGUGAGUAACGCGUGAGGAACCUGCCUCAAAGAGGGGGACAACAGUUGGAAACGACUGCUAAUACCGCAUAAGCCCACGGGUCGGCAUCGACCAGAGGGAAAAGGAGCAAUCCGCUUUGAGAUGGCCUCGCGUCCGAUUAGCUAGUUGGUGAGGUAACGGCCCACCAAGGCGACGAUCGGUAGCCGGACUGAGAGGUUGAACGGCCACAUUGGGACUGAGACACGGCCCAAACUCCUACGGGAGGCAGCAGUGGGGGAUAUUGCACAAUGGAGGAAACUCUGAUGCAGCGACGCCGCGUGAGUGAAGAAGUAUUCGGUAUGUAAAGCUCUAUCAGCAGGGAAGAUAAUGACAGUACCUGACUAAGAAGCCCCGGCUAACUACGUG